GAGGGUGUGGCUCAAGUGGUAGAGCGCAUGCUUAACAUGCAUAUGGUCCUGGAUUCAAUCCCCAGUACCUCUA
rnacentral:tRNA from 1 species